UCUCGAUAGAGUAAAAGCUAUCUCAAGUUUGUAUGAAAUUGGGAAGUUGCCUACGUUUGCCGCUAGGGGCGCUGUUCCAAAUCCAUACAAAUUCAAGUUAACUUUUACGCUAUCGA
rnacentral:pre_miRNA from 9 species